rnacentral:snRNA from 1 species
AUCACUUCUCAGCCUUUUGGCUAAGAUCAAGUGUAGUAUCUGUUCUUAUCAGUGAGGGAUAAUUUUCACUGGUCUUGUUACACUAUUCUGAGACUUUCU